GCCCGCCCGCCCGCCUCUCGCGGCCGCUCUCCCCCCUCCCCGACACACACUCACAGGCCGGGCAUUGAUGGUAAUGUAUGCGAGGAAACAGCAGAGACUCAGUGAUGGCUGUCACGACCGGAGGGGGGACUCGCAGCCUUACCAGGCACUUAAAUACUCAUCGAAGAGUCACCCCAGUAGUGGUGAUCACAGACAUGAAAAGAUGCGAGACGCCACAGAUCCUUCACCACCAAAUAAAAUGUUGCGGAGAUCUGAUAGUCCUGAAAACAAAUUUAGUGACAGCACAGGUCACGCUAAGGCCAAAAACGUGCAUGCUCACAGAGUUAGAGAGAGGGAUGGUGGGACCAGUUAUUCUCCACAAGAAAAUUCACACAACCACAGUGCUCUUCAUAGUUCAAAUUCACAUUCUUCUAAUCCAAGCAAUAAUCCAAGCAAAACUUCAGAUGCACCUUAUGAUUCUGCAGAUGACUGGUCUGAGCAUAUUAGCUCUUCUGGGAAAAAGUACUACUACAAUUGUCGAACAGAAGUUUCACAAUGGGAAAAACCAAAAGAGUGGCUUGAAAGAGAACAGAGACAAAAAGAAGCAAACAAGAUGGCAGUUAAUAGCUUCCCAAAAGAUAGGGAUUACAGAAGAGAGGUGAUGCAAGCAACAGCCACCAGUGGGUUUGCCGGUGGAAUGGAAGACAAGCAUUCCAGUGAUGCCAGUAGUUUGCUCCCACAGAAUAUUUUGUCUCAAACAAGCAGACACAAUGACAGAGACUACAGACUGCCAAGAGCAGAGACUCACAGUAGUUCUACGCCAGUACAGCACCCCAUCAAACCAGUGGUUCAUCCAACUGCUGCCCCAAGCACUGUUCCUUCUAGUCCAUUUACGCUACAGUCUGAUCACCAGCCAAAGAAAUCAUUUGAUGCUAAUGGAGCAUCUACUUUAUCAAAACUGCCUACACCCACAUCUUCUGUCCCUGCACAGAAAACAGAAAGAAAAGAAUCUACAUCAGGAGACAAAUCUGUAUCACAUUCUUGCACAACUCCUUCUACAUCUUCUGCCUCUGGACUAAAUCCCACAUCUGCGCCUCCAACAUCUGCUUCAGCAGUCCCUGUUUCACCUGUUCCACAGUCACCAAUACCUCCAUUACUUCAGGACCCAAAUCUUCUUAGACAGUUGCUUCCUGCUUUGCAGGCUACGCUGCAGCUUAAUAAUUCUAAUGUGGAUAUAUCCAAAAUCAAUGAAGUUCUUACAGCAGCUGUGACACAAGCUUCACUGCAGUCUAUAAUUCAUAAAUUUCUUACUGCUGGACCAUCUGCUUUCAACAUAACUUCUCUGAUUUCUCAAGCUGCUCAACUCUCUACACAAGCCCAGCCAUCUAAUCAGUCUCCAAUGUCUUUAACAUCUGAUGCAUCAUCCCCAAGAUCUUACGUGUCUCCAAGAAUAAGCACACCUCAGACUAACACAGUCCCUAUCAAACCUUUGAUUAGUACUCCUCCUGUUUCAUCACAGCCAAAGGUUUUGAAAUUACAGGUUAGUACUCCAGUAGUUAAGCAAGGACCAGUUUCACAAUCAGCCACUCAGCAGCCUGUACCUGCUGAGAAGCCACAAGGUCAUGAACCCGUUUCUCCUCGAAGUCUUCAGCGCUCGAGUAGCCAGAGAAGUCCAUCGCCUGGUCCAAAUCAUACGUCUAGCAGUAACACAUCGAAUGCAGCAGUCGUAGCACAGAAUGCCUCUGCCCGACCUGCGUGCUCGUUAACACCUACGCUAGCGGCACACUUCAGUGAAAAUCUCAUAAAACAUGUUCAAGGCUGGCCCGCAGAUCAUGCGGAGAAGCAGGUGUGUUACGUGAAGAAAAUAUGGACAACAGAGACCUUUGGGCAUCAAGAUUGCGUGAAGAAGCCCAUAACAUGGGAAGCGUUCACAUGUCAGAAAUAUGUACUGAAUUAAAAAAUUUAAGAUCUUUAGUCCGAGUAUGUGAAAUUCAAGCAACUUUGCGAGAGCAAAGGAUACUAUUUUUGAGACAACAAAUUAAGGAACUCGAAAAGCUAAAAAAUCAGAAUUCCUUCAUGGUGUGAAGAUGUGAAUAAUUGCACAUGGUUUUGAGUACAGGAACUGUAAAUCUAUUGCCCAAUCUUAACAUUUUUGAGCUGCAUUUAAGUAGACUUUGGACCGUUAAGCUGGGCAAAAGAAAUGACAAGGGGAUGGGUCUGUGAGAGUCGAUUCAGGGGAAAGAUACAAGAUUGAUUUGUAAAACCCUUGAAAUGUAGAUUUCUUGUAGAUGUAUUCUUCACGUUGUAAAUAUGUUUUGUAGAGUGAAGCCAUGGGAAGCCAUGUGUAACAGAGCUGAGACAUCCAAAACUAAUCAAUGCUGAGGUGGCUAAAUAACUAGCCUUUUACAUGUAAACCUGUCUGCAAAAUUAGCUUUUUUUUUAAAAAAAAAAAAAAAAAAAAUUGGGGGGGGUUAAUUUAUCACUCAGAAAUCUUGCAUUUUCAAAAAUUCAGUGCAAGCGCCAGGCGAUCUGUGUCCAAGGAUACGAUUUUGAACCAUAUGGGCAGUGUACGAAAUAUCAUGAAACAACUGCUUCCACACUUGCACCUGAUCAAGAGCAGUGCUUCUCCAUUUGUUUUGCAGAGAAAUGUUUUUCAUUUCCCGUGUGUUCCAUUUCCCUCUGAAAUCCUUGAUCUGAUUUUAUCCAUUUUUUUAAGGCUCCUCUUUUUCUCCUUUCUUAAGGCACUGUUGCUAUGGCACUUUUCUAUAACCUUUUCAUUCCUGUGUACAGUAGCUUAAAAUUGCAGUGAUUGAGCAUAACCCACUUGUUUGUAUAAAUUAUUGAAAUCCAUUUGCACCCUGUAAGAGUGGACUUAAAAGUACUGCUGGGCAUGUGUGCUGAAAGUACACUGAUUGCUCAGAUAUAAGGAAAUAGCCCGAUGAACGUGGUCGUGGGAGGGGAAAGAGGAAACAAAGCUCCUCAGAUGUGAAUUGUAUCUGUUGUAAUAAACAUGUUAAAACAAACAAAAAUUGUUACUUUUCUUUUCCUUCGGUCAAUGCUUAUUAGAAUUUGAACUACCUGGGGAUUCUUUAUGAGAACUAUUCUUGUUGAAUAUUUAUACUUGAUUGAAAUAAUUCUUUAAGGGAAGUUUCGUUUAAAGCAUAUUAACAGAAAAUUGUGUAUAAAAUAUAUAAUGAAAUAUGAAAUUCAACAAGAAUGAUUAAGUCACUUCCCAAGUGGUUGUCAUUUGUUAAACCCUGGUUUACCUGUCUUGCUAUUAUGACAUUUCAUUUUGAAGGAUGUUUGUGUUGUAGCUAACUGUUCAAGUCUGGUGCUGACUGCUGUUCUUAGCCAUCACAAAACGCUAAAUUUGUGUAAUUGGAGCUUCCUGCUGUUAUCUGGAAAUGGUGGGAAAGCUCAGCUUUGUAUAUUGUUUCCUAAAGUAUAUUAAAAUAAAAAAAGAAACUAUUGCUACUAUAAAAUUACUUUGGCUUUUUUUUUUUUUCCCUUAAAAUAUCAGUCACAUGGCCUUAACAUGACACUGCCAGUAUUAAGUCACAAAGAUUUCUGUAUGUAGAAGAAUCAUUUAAUUUCACAAUCUUUUCCAAUUUAGAGCUUCUUUUUGUUGUCGUUGGCACAGAUAUAUUCAUGUGCUUUCAGAACUGCCAGCACCAAGGGCUUAUCUUGUCAUGUUAGAUAUGAAUGUAAUUUGCAUUAUGGGAUAUUAACUUAAAUUUGAAAAUUGGUCUCGCGCUCUAAGCAUAUCUUAAGCAUAUUUUGCAUAUAGGAGUAAGGCUCAGAUUUUUCCGUAAGUAAAGUGUAAGCAGCAGUAUGAAUGGUAUUUUCUAAAAUAACAAAAAUGUUCCAGUGUAAUUAAGAAGAAUAAAAAUCUUAAACUGGAAGCUGUUUUUUUUCCCCCCUGUAACUUGAGAAUACUCUUAAAUGUAAGAAAAGGUAAAUGUCAUGAAAUGUUCAUACCUGUGGCAUUGUUAACAUUUGUUGGAUUUAAUUAGUGCAUGUAAAGGAAACCUUGAAGAGCUGUGUUAAGCUAGAACCCUUAUUAGUGCAGCCCUGGAUCUUUCCUCCUGGAAAAAAGCAAACAGUUUGUGAUGUAGUAGGCCAGUGUUUCCUGAGCAGAUGGCAACUUGACUUGUGGUUUAAGGUAAAUUUGGAUUUGAUUUGCUAAUAGAAUUUAUUGAUCUAUAUCACUUUUCUUCCUUUGCUUAAAAAAUGUUUACAUCCAUAAAUGAGUUGCAUAUAUAUGUAGGAAACGAUGCCUAAUUUGAAAUUUCUUAGUGGUGAAUUUUUAAACACACAGAAAAAUUGAAAUCUUUUGUGGAAAUAUUUUUACAAUAUCUGAUUCACUUAUUCUGUAGUAAAUUAUUUUAAAUAUUGCACUUUAAUACAGACAUGGUAUUCAGCUACUAAGCUUUUGAGGUAACCAGGGAUUAUGUACUAUUAAAAUAGACAUUAUAUCCUAGAAUAUUCUUUAUCUAGUUAUACCCGUUGCCAUAGCUUUGAACACGUAUCAUUUUGGUGGGCAACUUGGUUCAGACAAUUUGAAAAUAAAAUUACUGAAUAGUCUCUAAGAAGCCUCAGGUGUUUUUUGUUUGUCUCUUAAAAGACUUUAUAGUCUGUAUUCAAACACUGAAAACUGUGAUAUUGUAACAAAGUGUAUUUAGUGAAGAUGGAUUUGUUAGAAAGUCCCCUGAAGAACCAGCUUCCCUACCUUUUAUUUUUCUGUUAAGUCAGGCCAGAAUUGAAGUUUAAAACUUGGACUACAACUCCCCGAUUUUAAACACUGAAAACUCAACUCCAUGUUCCACCCAGUUCUUUUCUGAGACAUACAUGCUGCUUUUAAUAGCCCAGAUGAUUGGUUUUGUUUUUAAUUCUAAAUCUGACACACAUGACAUAUUUUACUUUGAUACAUUUGAUAUUUAUAUUUGACAAAAAUUGACAUUUUUCUGUCUCACACUUGUAAAAUCUUGGGAAGGAGGUGCUUAAAACUUUGCAAAGAAUAAAUUAUUGCCCCAUUUCAAAAACAGUUUCUCGUUCUGUUUAAACAUAACCCUAGCUUUAAGAAACUAUUUCAAAGGGGGCAGGAGUGACAGAGUAAUUUCCUUCUACAUACCAGAACGAUUGUAGUUUGGGACUUAAAGCUACUGUAUUUAGAUGUGGAGUUUGAAUAUAUGGAUUUUUUUCCUUAAUACCUGUAAAUACGGCUGUAUUCUUGUAUCUGUACUGGAGUGUACAAAUGACACUAAAAAGUAAUAAAUAUGUUUUGACAGUAUUGUGCAGUUAUUUCAGAACAAUGUUUUUGAGAGUCUUAGAACGCAUAAUUUGAGUAAGGAAACAACAGAUUACUGCUGAAAUUUUAAUAGCAGUCAUGUGUUUCAGUAGUCUCAAAAUAGAAUUUUUUAGUUGCGAUUUUUAAAUUCUGGCUUAAAGUUGGGGUUCUUUAGGCUCUGCUAAUUUGCUGGACCCUUGCCCUGAUUUCUCACGUUGGGAGUACCCUAACAUUCAGUCUGCCUAGGUGAUCUUAUUCAGGUCCAUGGCUUAACAAUUUGUAAUAACACUCAAAUUAUCUUUAUCCCUGAGCUCCGGGUAGUCAGUUGAGAUACCUGGAUGUCUAAAGGUCUCUCAGACUUAGCAUGACCAAAAGGGAGCUCUCAGUUUGCGCCUUAGACCAUUCUCCAUUGUUCCCGUUACCUGUAAUUGACACUAUUAUUCCCCAGUUGCUGGAGACCCAAAACUAAAAAUCCUGUUUUUUUUUGCUUCCUAUGUCCCAUAUUUCAUCCGUCAUGAAGACCCACUAACUGCCUUCAAAAUGUAUUUUGGGUUCUGAGAAGGUCUCCUACCUCCAUGUUUACCGUUCUGGUCUGGAUCAGUCAUUUUUGGAACACUGCAGCCAUCUCCUGAUCUUUCUCCCUGCCACUGCUCUUACCCCACUGCCGCCCUCCCCUUGCCACACACACACUCUGUUCUCCAGACAGCUGCCUAAGUGAAAUGUAAACUAGAUUAUGUCAUUGUGUUCAUAAUGAUUUCACACUCAAAAAUAAAACCUAAAACAACUGCUGUGACUUAGGUAUUUCAAAUCCCUGAAUAUCACUACGUUCUCUUCUCAUCUACCAGUUUGUCUCUUGGUCACUGCACUUCGACCACGCUGCAGUCCCAUCUCAGGGCUUUUGCAUUUGCUUUUUCUGCCUGGAAAGCUGUUUUUGUAGAGAUUUUUGCAGUUUUUUGCCCAGUCGCAUGCAGUCUUUCAAAGAGGCCUUUCCUGACCAAAGAACGGUGUCUGAUCUGGAGGAACUACAUAAAUAUUUGUCAAAUGAAUUAUGGAUGUUGAGUAAAGGACUUUGACCAGACCAGGAUUUAAGAAUAUGUUUAUAAAAAGUUUAACAACUUUUUUUCUUAGCAGUGAGUUUUUUUCUUUUUAAUUAUUACAAUUUUUUAGGUACCAAAAAUUUACAAUCUGUUGGUUACCAAAACCUAGACUAUUAUAGUUUUUAGUGUGGACUCUUUAAGCAAGAUAAACGAAGAUAGUUUGAGCUUACUUACAUGAGUGCAUUUUAGUAUUAAGCUGAUGAGAAGGGGGAUGCUACUUCUGAUGUAACAAGCAUGGGGAGAAGGACCAGCAGGAACUGGCCCUGUUUCUCAAAGGCAAGGAUCCAGUGAGGCGUGGGGGUUGAAGACAGUCCUGGUUUUGCAAGGCAGGACUACUGUGAUAGGCCAUCCCUCAGUUCAGAUGUUGGACACCCAACCACACUGAUAUUCUGGCUUUCUAGGGCACGGAUGUAGGUGGCAAUCUGGUAUUCAAGUCAUGUUCUAAGAUGUGUCAUUAAUAGAACAUCUGCCCUAGGACAUACUCAUCCUGUAGAAAAUGGCUGGGGUAUAAGAAUUCUCUGCUUCUGGGAUGGGUGGGAAGAUUAAGAUGGAAUGGACACCCGAUGCCAUUAUAAACAGGCAUCUUUUUUUUAAGUGCCUUUUGUUGACUGCCUGAUUAAACAUAUAUGGGUGUGUAGGAGCCCUGGGGGUGCAGUGGUUAAAGUACUCAGCUGCUAGCUCAAAGGUCAGCAGGACAAACCCACCAGCCGCUUCUUGGGAGGAAGAUGUGGUAGCCUAUUUCCGUAAAAGCAGUCUUGAAAAUCCUACGGGGGGCAGUUCUGCCCUAUCCUAUAGGGUCACUAUGAGUCAGAAUUGACAGCAACAGAUUUUCAAUUGUAGAUGAGUGUGUGAGGAUCUGAAUAAGUGAUUUCUUACUCAUUUUUGAUAGUCCUGGUGCUGUCUUCUUGGGCGGAAAAGGCAGAAUGUGAAGCCGAGGGUUUUUGUCCCGUGCGUUGUGUGUGGAUCUCCGUUGCCUAGACCUUCAGUAAAUACUUCUGCAUGAGCAAGUGAGUGAAAUACUCAUUUUAAAUGUUUGCUCUCUAAGAAUGUUCAGCUUUGCUAUUUAAUAAAUUUAAGUCAAUGUUUUUUUUAAUCAUGAUUAAGGAGAAGGACUUGAGCAGAGAGUCACUAUCCGAAAUGUAAAAUCAAGUCCAUUGCUUAAAUUAAAGCACUUUGAUACCCUGACAUUUUAUCUUUGUGAGCUGUAACUGUUAAGGCGAAGGACAGAAGAUGUUGACCAUGGUUGGUGAUAGCUCUGGUAUUUAAAAUGCCAGUACAAAGUUGCAGGCUGCAUCUCUCUAGCUGUUUCACAAGCACAAAAGUUCCAAAGAUACUGUUUAAAAUACUGAUAAUGGAAUUUCAGUAAAGGAUAGUAGGUAACAUACUCCCUAAUGCCUAACAAAGGUUUUAAAAGAGCCCAAAUAUUCCUCUACAGACAGUAAAACAAUGAAAGGAGCACAACCCUGUUCUGUAAUCUUUGGAAAGUGAUCGCCAAAGAGAAAGGAAAAGAGAAACUUUUGGCUUAGUUUAGCACAUCUAAUUACCCCUGGAUUUGUCAGGGUCCAGUCAGAAGGUAGCUCACCCUAGGUAUCUCAAAAGGAGGGGGGUUGAAGGAUGAAACCAAGGCAGGUGUACCUGGAGGAAAUGACAAAAAAGAGAGCUGGGACUAUGGGCAGGGGGGAGGGGUCUGGAUCCAAGGAAAAGACAGCUACUAAGCAAGAUACCACCUGGAGCAGUUGUUAGGUGCCAUUGAAUCAAUUCUGGCUCAUAGUGACCCCAUGUGACGGUAUAACUGCCCCACAGGGUCUCCUAGACUAGUAUUUACAGGAGCAGAUGACCAGGUCUCCACCCCCGUGGAGCUGCUGAGUGGGUUUGAACUAUAGUGCUUAAUCAUUGUGCCACCAGGGCUCCUUCAGCUGAAGUAGAGAGGGAAAAACACAGGCUUUCUCCCUCUAGCCUCCUGAGAGUGCACGUAUUGGCAGAAUUUACCCAGGAGCAAGAGGACACAGAACCUGGGAAAUCCCCUACAAUACUGAGAAGGGAGGAGAAAGGAAAAUAAUGAAUCUUCGAAGAAACAGGCAAAUAACCAGCACAACCACUGACCACCACUAGCUUAAUAAGAGGAAGAAAAAGUAUACCAAUUUGAGCAACAUUUCCUGACAAAGGAUAGUGGAGUAAUGUCUACGAAAUUCUAAGAAAUGUCUAAAAAAAUCUAUUGAACCCCAAAAUCAUACUUAGUAAGAUGUUCAAAUAGACAACAGAAACUCCCAAACAGGAAAGGGCAAGAGACUAUUAUUGUACUCAGGAGACCUUAGAGAAAACAAUUGCUAACAAAAUCUAACCCAGAGAUGAACGGAGAAUAGUGUAAAAGCACUGUUGGUGUUAUGGAAGCGAUUUAGACAACAAAUACUAAAGAGGAAACCCUGGUGGCUCAGUAGUUAAGAGCUAUGGCUGCUAACCAAAAGGCCAGCAGUUCAAAUCCACCAGGCGCUCCUUGGAAGCUCUAUGCAGCAGUUCUACUCUGUCCUAUAGGGUCGCUAUGAGUCGGAAUCCACUCAACGGCAAUGAGUUUGUUUUGUUUUUAAUACUGAAGAGCUGUGGGGAACAUGAUACAGGAUUGUAGUAAAAUGUGGAAAUGUUGAAAUAAAAUGGGAGGCAGUGAGAAGUUGGGAGAAAAUAUGAGGAUGUUCAAUUUUUUUUUUCUUACUAGGGAGGUCUAAUGUUCAUAAAUCGAGGAAUAGAAAUGCACUCUUUACUAGCAGAACAGGUUCUUGCUCUAAUGGAGCUUACGGUCAAGAGAAGGCAAAAAGACAGUAAAUGAUUUUUAAAAGUAAAUGCACAAAAUUAGACAUCAGUACAUAAUGUGCACAAUAAAUAAUGAGUAAUUGCUGUGAAGAAAAAUUGAGACUGUUAAGAGGGCAAGGUUGAGGAAUUUUAGAUCACAUAGUCAGGGAAAGCAUCUCUGAAGACAUGACUUUGGACGUGAUACUUGAAAAAUGAGAACAAAACAGCCAUGCAAAAGUUAACGACAAAACAUUACAAGCAGUCCCAUAAAAUUCAAGGACAUAAAAGAGUUACUAUCACCAUUAUUAUUUUCAAUACUGCUUGGGAAAUACUAAACCAAUGCAAUUAUAUGGGAAAAAGAAGGGCUAUUUAUUUCUAUAUAUAUUGGAAAGGAGGAGGAAAAAUUAUUUUCAGUGAUGUGUGUAUCUGAAAAAUAGAAAGCUAUUACAGUAAAUUCAGUAAGAGGCCUAAUUACAAGUUUAAUAUGCAAAAAUCAAUAGUUUUGUUAUAUUGAAAAUGCAACAGAAGUAAAGAUUUAAUUUAUAUAGCUGCA